rnacentral:lncRNA from 1 species
GUUCAUCUCUAGGUUUUGGGUGUUGAUUCUUUCAUCUUGUAAUCACUUACCAUUGAAAUCUCUUGGUCACGGGAAGAGAUUUGGGAAAUGGGUAGAAUUAGGGUUGAAGUCUAAUUCUUGCAACUCCUUUGUAGUGAAUCUCGUUGUAAUCAAGCUUUUCUUUGAUAGUGGAACGGAGAGUGGCUCUCUCCCCCAGAGUAGGUCGGUUUUGACUGAACUGGGUAAACAAUUGCUUCGUGUUCUUUACGGUUUUAUUACUUAUCUUUUGUUCGUGAUUAUUAUUGCUAUUUCCACAUUUUGAUUGCUUAUUCGAUUUGCUCCACACAUCAAGAUUAUUGAUGUGAUUAUUAAAGAAUUCACAACAACAACUCAAUGAAACGAGUAAAAUUCAAAUAAAUAUUAUCAUCCUUACCAAUUUUUGGAGCCUUCCCGUUAAUUUCUAGGUCCUUUUGAUCAUCCAAUGCCUCUGUUAAAUAAAUUGUAAAUGAGAUAUGACAAAAAUUAAAUAGUUUAUGCGUCUAAUAUGUAUAUAAACAAUUCUGAUAUAAAUGUAUUUUAUAUUUUAAUCUUCUUUACUUUUCAUAAAUAUCUUUUAUCAUUACUUAUAAUAGUUGAUUUUUUUGAAUGGUCUUAUAAGAGGUUGUAUUUGGAUCAAAGAGGUUGAUAAAAAUAAUAUGAAAAGUAACUUAAGUUAGAUGUUUUUUUUGCAAGAGUACCUCCUUUUUUGACAAAAUAACGAAAGAGUACCUCUUAGUAUAAUGCUUAUU